rnacentral:tRNA from 2 species
CCGACCUUAGCUCAGUUGGUAGAGCGGAAGACUGUAGUUGGUGAAAAGCCUGACAGAUGAUCUUUAGGUCGCUGGUUCGAAUCCGGCAGGUCGGA